CUUGACUCUGUACGCUGCCUAGAAUAUUCAGUUGAAUUCCAAAUUCUAGAGCGAGAACACCUCCCAGCUCAGUACCAAAAGAUUACAUAUAGUUUUAUAUAAAUUUAUCUUUCGGCUAGGAUUAAGCAUAAAGUUCAAAAGACCCAGCGAGCAAGAUGGGUAGUGGUACCUGAGGAGCACCUAUCACUAAACAAGGAGGUUCAAGGUUCAGAAAGUUCAUAAGAAGGUUAAGGUUAACACAGUUCAACAUCCAAAAACCAUGCAACACGGAACAAUUAAGGCGGAAGAUGAAGGCGUUUCCAAAGGGUUUUUGGGGGUUUGGUCUAGAGGAUUCAAUGAUCGGUACAGGAAAGAACAAAUAACACAGACGAAUGAAGGCAUUAGGCAGUAACACCUUACACCAGUGUAAGCAAGAUGGAGGCCUUACGUGAGGACUGGUUAAUAUUAUAAUUUACCAUUUUAGCGGGACACAAAUCUCUGGAGAAUAUCAAGAAUACACGGACGCAACGGACAUUUAAUCAAAAAAUAAUAUAACAACUUUAUUAUAAUAAAAAUACACUUGUAGACAAAUAUAAA